rnacentral:rRNA from 1 species
UACGACGGGGGCUAGCGUUGUUCGGAUUUACUGGGCGUAAAGCGCGUGUAGGCGGACUGUUAAGUUGGGGGUGAAAUCCCGAGGCUCAACCUCGGAACUGCCUUCAAAACUGGCGGUCUGGAGUGAAGGAGAGGCGAGCGGAAUUCCGAGUGUAGAGGUGAAAUUCGUAGAUAUUCGGAGGAACACCAGUGGCGAAGGCGGCUCGCUGGCCUUUUACUGACGCUGAGACGCGACAGCGUGGGGAGCAACCAGG